GCCACUCGCAGGACUGUCAGGAUGCACGUGAAUCCUCGGGGGCGAGAUUGGAUCCGCGCGACCAGCCACUACCCAGGCGCUGCUGUGAAAAGCGUAUCGAUACCUCUUGUCGUCGCAGGGUACGAAGUCCAUCACCAGCAGAUUCGACGAUGGGAAAAUGCAUAAGUGACACGAGAACAUUUCCUGCCACUCCAAAUCGCUCGUAAACAAGGGGUUGUAAACGGCUUCCAGAUGGAGAGUCAAGAAAUGCUUGUAACGUUCGAAACAACGAAUUACUUUGUUUUGCACGAAAUUUUGAAAAUUAAGAACGAGUCAUUAAGACAUAGCAAUGACCUGGAAGUGGUUUCGCUUCGAGAGCAGCGCCGGCACCAACCAGAGCGGAAUGUAGAGGCCUCUUGGAGCCAGAUUCUUCCGUCAAACUCGCGCCAUUCUCUCUGGGAUGGUGGUCUCCGUAAUGACGAUUGUUGUUGUUGCUAUCGUUGCGAGAUUCUGUGGGAGUUGUCGUGGAAAUCGACGAAUUAGCGACGCGCUGUGUUAGCGAGGUUUUCGCGGUGAAAUUUGGAGGUACCUACCUUCCAUCUGUUGCAUUGGGGAUGGAACGCUCGUCAUGGACUGAGCAGAGUGAUGAGUCUGAUGAUGGGGAGCCCAUUGCUGAUAGCAGCAAUCAGCGGUGAUAUCGUGCCGUGGCUCGUGUUGCUGUUGCAUCCUUACUGGU